rnacentral:rRNA from 1 species
GAUGAACGCUGGCGGCGUGCCUAAUACAUGCAAGUCGAGCGAACAGACGAGGAGCUUGCUCCUCUGACGUUAGCGGCGGACGGGUGAGUAACACGUGGAUAACCUACCUAUAAGACUGGGAUAACUUCGGGAAACCGGAGCUAAUACCGGAUAAUAUAUUGAACCGCAUGGUUCAAUAGUGAAAGACGGUUUUGCUGUCACUUAUAGAUGGAUCCGCGCCGCAUUAGCUAGUUGGUAAGGUAACGGCUUACCAAGGCAACGAUGCGUAGCCGACCUGAGAGGGUGGUCGCCCACACUGGAGCUGAAACCCGCUCCAGACUCCUACGGGAGGCAGCAGUAGGGAAUCUUCCGCAGUGGGCGAAAGCCUGACGGAGCAACGCCGCGUGAGUGAUGAAGGUCUUCGGAUCGUAAAACUCUGUUAUUAGGGAAUAACAAAUGUGUAAGUAACUAUGCACGUCUUGACGGUACCUAAUCAGAACGCCACGGCUAACUACGU